ACGACGAACUGUUGAACUCCACGGGAGACGAUCUAGCUGCGAGGUGAAAUCUCGCUCAGAUUCUAUUUGAAAGUCAAAUGACAACCGAUUAUCCGACUGGCUAACUCCUAACUUGAAAUUGAUUUUCAAAGAAACAGAUAGUCUGCAUAAUAAAGAAAAUGGCGGAGAGGCACGAAGAAUUUCUUAAUAAAACCUGUUCACAUUCAAUCGAGGACACCAUCAUCGUCAUCGUCACGAUUUAUUCUAUCGAACGAAGAAAUGACGUCAUGCUUCGUGCCUCGAGAAGCGUUCUUUACGUUCUUUAAAAACUCGUAUUCAUUUAAAUCGAACGUUCCCUUUAAGGUGUAGUAGCUCUUUAGCACAGGAAAAAAAGGAAACAAAACAAAAUAAAAAAAAACAAAAACAAAAACAAAAACAAAAAUCACGAAACACAAUCGAUCGAUAGUUGUUACCUCCUGUAACAUUUUACUGCAAUAAUCAUCAUUUCUUGUAAAUUUGUUAUUUCGAGAGAUACACGAGGUUAAAGAUGAAAAUAAAGAUGGCGUAAACGUUGCAUAUUUGCAAUUGAACAGUUUCUCGUUGAUAUCAUUUAAUCUGGCUACGGAGCUACGACGAAAUUCCGUGAUCCAAAUUCGACGAAUUAAAAUCUAAAUGAAAAAUUGACCUUCGUGGUUUCAUCGCCAAAAAUAUCGUUUCUCGAUGAAUAACAAAGAUAGCUAAUCGAAAAAAUAAAAAAAAUAAAAAAGAAAGGGGAGAGGGGAGAGAGAGAGAGAGAGAGAGAGAGAGAGAGAGAAGAAAAAAGAAACAAAGCAAAAAUCGUCUUAGCGAUGGAUCUUGUAAAAAUGUACAUUUAGAAAUUCUUAUACGCGUUCAACUUAGCAAUUGAAAAACUAUAAGUUAUAACUUUUAAUAGGACAACAAUGUCAGGGAAUACAGGAAUGAGUGAGUGCGCUGACAUCAUCGUAUAGUAGUAAGAGUGACGCAAUCGUUCGUAGUAACGUCACGUUCUCGCUUGAACGAGACCUCGAAAUAUCGAUUCUACCUCGAGUUGUAAUCGAUUCUCUCGAUAUAUAGUCGAUUGUGUUUGGACGCUUACUCACAAUAUUUCAACAUCCAUUAUUAUCACGGAACUACUACGGAGAAGAUCAUUUUACCCUUUCGGGUAUAUUGAUUUUCCAUAAAAAAAACCUUGAAGCAUCCUGCUGAAAUAUAUUUUUCUCUUCGAGCAAAUUCUCUCCCUGUUACGUAUUAAAAAAUAUACCAUUAAUAUAUAUAUUUUUAUCAUUAUUUAUUCUAACAAAUUUAUAUAAAAUUAUCAUGGAUAACAAUGAUCGAAGUAAUUAAGCUAAAGAAAAUUAUUGAUCCACGUGAAGUAAUGUGCUUUUAGCAUGAUAUCGUAACAUAAACAAGAUAAACAAUCUCUCCUCUGACCUUUUUUAACCGCUUUACUAAUUUCUUACAUAUAGAAAUGUUAGACAUGAGGAUUAAUAUUGAUUUAUAAUAGACGAAUAUUUUUCAAUAGCAUAAAACGUGUCAUUUCAUUCUCUCUCUCUCUUUCUCUCUCUCAAAAAAAAAAAAAAAAAAGAAAAGAGAAAAAGAACUCUCCAUAUUGUCUACGAUAGUUUCAAAGUAAACAAAGUAAGUUUGCAUCUAAGUGUUAAAUUCAUUAAAACUGAAAAAAUAUAUAUAUAUAUAUAUAAAACAUCUUUCUAAAAAAAGUAACUAUAGCCUAUGGGGAAAAAAAAAAAGAAAAAAAAAAAAAAGAUGCUUACGAAUGCCAUCCUUUAUGUUUCCAAUCUACGUAGAAUGAUUUUUAUAACCGAUCCAAAAAAAAAAAAAAGAAAGAACUAGUUGAUACAUGUAUUAUUAUUCACAAAACAUUCUUAUACGCGGGUACAUUAAUAGACGGACACGUCGAUGACCUAAACGAUAUUAUUAUAAUGAUACAAAUAAUCAUAAACUAUAGAAUAUCACGUAAGAGAUCUAAAAUGCUGAUAAAUCCAUAGUUUUAUCAUGUCCAUCUGUUUUAUGAUAAAUAAGAACUUUUAUUAAAAAAAAAAAAAAAAAAAAAAAAAAA